rnacentral:rRNA from 1 species
UACGUAGGGGGCAAGCGUUGUCCGGAUUUAUUGGGCGUAAAGAGCGUGUAGGCGGUCAGGUAGGUCGGUUGUGAAAACUGGAGGCUCAACCUUCAGAGGUCGACCGAAACCCCCUGGCUAGAGUCCGGGAGAGGAGAGUGGAAUUCCUGGUGUAGCGGUGAAAUGCGCAGAUAUCAGGAAGAACACCCGUGGCGAAAGCGGCUCUCUGGAACGGUACUGACGCUGAGACGCGAAGGCGUGGGGAGCGAACAGG